rnacentral:rRNA from 1 species
GAUGAACGCUGGCGGCGUGCUUAACACAUGCAAGUCGAGCGAGUGAGUUCUUCGGAACGAUCUAGCGGCGGACGGGUGAGUAACACGUGGGCAACCUGCCUCAUAGGGGGGAAUAGCCUCCCGAAAGGGAGAUUAAUACCGCAUAAACUUAUCGAGUGGCAUCACACGGUAAUCAAAGGAGUAAUCCGCCAUGAGAUGGGCCCGCGGCGCAUUAGCUAGUUGGUGAGGUACCGGCUCACCAAGGCGACGAUGCGUAGCCGACCUGAGAGGGUGUUCGGCCACAUUGGGACUGAGACACGGCCCAGACUCCUACGGGAGGCAGCAGUGGGGAAUAUUGCACAAUGGGGGAAACCCUGAUGCAGCAACGCCGCGUGAGUGAUGAAGGUCUUCGGAUUGUAAAGCUCUGUCUUUGGGGACGAUAAUGACGGUACCCAAGGAGGAAGCCACGGCUAACUACGUGCCAGCAGCCGCCGUAA